AAAAAUAUUUUCUACUUUUGGAUACAUGACUAUAUUUUCCUUGAAACCAAGGAAAAUAUUUUUUCAAGGAAAUAGAUUUUUAUUUGUCAGUGAUUCACUCUUAUUUUCUCUAACAUCUACUGCCUCUCUCUUCCAUCUAUCUAUCAAUAAAAAAUGAAUAAGUAUAACAUUUUUCUAGUUGAAAAUAAAAUCAAUCACAUACAUUUAAUUGAUACUUUUCAUGCAUAUAAUUUCUUGACAAUUCAAUUGCUUAAAAUUUAUUUUCUUUUCAAUGUAAAUUUCAAACUUACAAUCAAGCACACUCUUAAAUCAACUUUGGUAUAGAAUCUUCAUAAAAAUAUCAUUCGGUACCACCAAAUACAAUCGGAAUCUCUCAUAUAUAUAUAUAUAUAUAUAUAUAUAUACACAAACAUAACAAUUUAAUUUAUUAGGAUAAUUUCUUUCUGGUUUAAAUUUCCUAACAUGCCUACUUUCAUCUAAAUAAGGCUUUCUUCUAUUAGAUUUUCUAAGAUAAUAUCUUUUCUUAUAAGGUUGGUAAUUUUUCUUAUUAUCAUAUUUUCUUUUAUUCUUUUCUUUAAACUUAUUUCCAUAAGUUUGAGGUGUAUAAAUAUCUUUACAAAAUUUAUAAUCUGUCUUUUUAAGUUGGUUCUGUAUUUGUAAUUCAAUACAUUUUUCUUCUAAACAUUGCAUUAUAAAUUGUGUUCUAAUUCCUAUACUCCAUAAUUGGUCUGGUCUUUCUUUAACACUUUUAUUUUCAUUCCAUUUCUUUGUUAUUUCUAGUCCUAAAGGACCUGGUAGUUUAUGAAAUAAUUUUUUCCCUAAUUCUUGAUUAAAAGUAUUUCCUGAAAUAGAAACUAAAUAAUAAUAUUCAUUUAAAAAUUGUUUAACUUCUUUACCAUUAGUCCAUCUAUUUAAGCUAAGUUGUUCUAAAUUUCUAAUAGCUUUAUUUUGGAUUAUUAAUUGUCCUGUAUUAGGGUCUGCUCCUGUUAAUAAUUCAUGUAUUUUACUAAAAAGAUUAUAAGGAUUAUUUCCUAAUAAUACUAAUGCUUCAAAUUCUGAUUGUUUAUCUCUUUUAUAAGCUUCCCAUGUAGCUUUAGUACUUUCUCCUAAAAAAGUUUCUAAAUAUCUAUACAUUUCUAAUGGUUCCAUGUUAUCUGCUAACCUAAUAUAAUGACCUAAUACCGUAUUCUUCCAAACUUCUAUUGUAUUAUUCCAAGUCUGGGGAUCAUGUGCUGUAAUAUUUAAUAAUUGUGGUUUAUGAGGCGUCUGAAAUUCUAUUUUAGGUUCUAAAGGUCUAACUUUUCCUCUAACUAUAUAGUUUCUUUCUUUAUCAUUAUAAUUUGUAUAAGGUAUUCUA
rnacentral:lncRNA from 1 species